rnacentral:rRNA from 1 species
CGGGGUGCACCAGGCGCGAAAACUUUACAAUGCUGGCAACAGCGAUAAGGGGACCUUGGGUGCCAGGAUACAAUCCUGGCUGUCGUGAUGCCUAAAAAGCAUUAUAUAGCAAGGGCCGGGCAAGACCGGUGCCAGCCGCCGCGGUAACACCGGCGGCUCGAGUGGUAACCGCUAUUAUUGGGUCUAAAGGGUCUGUAGCCGGCUUGGUUAGUCUCUUGGGAAAUCCGGCAGCUUAACUGUCGGGCUUUCAGGAGAUACUGCCAGGCUCGAGACCGGGAGAGGUGAGAGGUACUUCAUGGGUAGGGGUGAAAUCUUGUAAUCCUUGAAGGACCACCAGUGGCGAAGGCGUCUCACCAGAACGGAUCUGACGGCAAGGGACGAAAGCUAGGGGCACGAACCGGAUUAGAUACCCGGGUAGUCCUAGCCGUAAACGAUACUCGCUAGGUGUCGGCCACGGUGCGACCGUGGUCGGUGCCGUAGGGAAGCCGUGAAGCGAGCCACCUGGGAAGUACGGCCGCAAGGCUGAAACUUAAAGGAAUUGGCGGGGGAGCACAAGGGCGAAUUCGCGG